rnacentral:misc_RNA from 1 species
UUUUUUGUAACAAAACUAUGUCUAUAAACGGUGUAAUUUUUAAAUUAGAUAGAAUUAUUUUUUUUAGUAACAAAACUGUCUAUAAACAGUGUAAUUUUUAAAUUAGAUAGGUUAGGGUUUUUUUUUCAUUUGUAACAAAACUAUGUCUAUAAACGGUGUAAUUUUUAAAUUAAAUAGGUUAGGGUUUUUUUUUUUGUAACGGAAUUAUGCCUAUAAACGGCCCCUUUCUGAAGUCAGAUAGAUUAUGGUAAUUUUUUUAUUCAUGUAAUGUUUUUCACUUCAUUAUAUAUUUUUUU